GGGUUGGUAGCUCAGUGGUAGAGCAUCCAGUCUAGAUUACAGAUGGUCUGAGGUUUCACUCCUGGCCAGUCCA
rnacentral:tRNA from 1 species